rnacentral:lncRNA from 1 species
UGGAUUCUUGUGCUUCUUUCUUUCCAAAUAAGAUAAACUGCCGCCUGAAAAAUGAUCUUACACAAUACCUUAAGCUUUGCAUUAGUCGUAAAGGACCUGAGCCACACUAGAUUAUGCUCAAAGCUACUAGGUGGUGAGAAUGGAACUGCUUGAAACAACAAAUUCCAAAGAUCCAGCGAGAAUGAACAAGCGAAGAAUAAG